rnacentral:rRNA from 1 species
UACGAAGGGUGCAAGCGUUACUCGGAAUUACUGGGCGUAAAGCGUGCGUAGGUGGUGAGUUAAGUCUGUCGUGAAAGCCCCGGGCUCAACCUGGGAAUGGCGAUGGAUACUGGCUCGCUAGAGUGCGGUAGAGGAGAGUGGAAUUCCCGGUGUAGCAGUGAAAUGCGCAGAUAUCGAGGAGAACACCGGUGGCGAAGGCGGGUCUCUGGGCCGUAACUGACGCUGAGGAGCGAAAGCGUGG